UGGUCUCCGUCUCAAGGCCACCGGCUAGGCUCAGAAAAGCACGCCGCGCUCCCGGGUGCCAGGGCCCUCCAAAGACCGAGGCCUCCUGGCGCCCUCAACCCCGGGGCACAGUCCGCGCGCGGGGAGACCCCCGGCCCGCACUACCGCGGCAGAGCGCAACCCGGACGAGCGGGCGGACAGGAGGGAAAGGGCUGGGGGCGGCGGUCCCGGAACCAGGUGGAUGGCAACCCGGCUAACGGGGACUCGGGUCGCGGCACAGACCUCCCCGCUCCCCCCGUGGGCCGACCUUUCCUGCCCCCCGGGAGGCCGGGGCGGGACGCCGGGCUCCGGGCGGCAGAGGGCGGGGUGGAGGCUGGAGGGCGCGCCGCGGCCGAGUCUCCGCGCCCGGGCUCCCCCUAAGCGGCCCACGCGGGGGCUCCCACUUUGGGGGGCAGCGGCCUGGGCCGCGCAGGGCUCCGUGCAGACCGCGCGGCCGGCUGCGACGGGAGACGCCGGCCCCGGCCCGGCCCGGUACUCACGCUGGCUUCAUGGCAGCGGGCUCCGUGCUGCCCGGAGGCGCGCGCGGGACGCCGGGCUCGAUCUGGCGGGCUGGCGAGGGCGGCAGGCCGCAGGGACGGGCCACGGGAAGCGGGACUCCACGGCUCAGGCGCGGCGCUCCGAGAAGCCGGUCGACGCCGCCGCGAGCCCAGGUGAGCUCGCGCCCGGCGCAUUUCAAACGGGCCAAUCAGCGCCCGCCCGCGGGGAAGGGGCGGGGCCUCAGAGGAAGUGACUGCUCUGCCGGAAGUGGCGCUCGUCUCCUAGGCGACCGCGGGAGUGAGGCGCGAGUUGUCUGCGUCUCUGGGCUGCGCUCAGAUGUAAUGAAGUCCAUCCCCUUCCAUUUUCCCAUGAGGAAACUGAGGGCUUAUUUUACUACAGUACAAGAAGUCCAACGGAAGGGCCAGUCCAGCGUGCAUUCAGAGGUCAGCGGGGUUCCCGCACAGGAGUGUCCUAUUGUGCGGUGCCCUGCACAGCCAGACUCCGCGUCUGGCUUCCAUAUCACCACAUCAUGUUGGCGUCCUCUCCCCCCUUCACGUUUCCUGGGUUCUCCCUCCCUGGUUCCUCCAGCUCUAUUUUAUACAUACAUUCUCUUAUCAAAUUAUUUUCUCUUUUAUUACAUUCUUAACAAUGUUUGAUCCUGAGCAUUGCUAAAAAGAAAACCACUGGCCCAAGAUGAAGUCCCUUAUGCUAUGCCAGGUCACCAAACCGGGGCUUAAUAUCUUAAUGUCUUAAUGUCUUAAUAUCACCUAAGUGUAGUUUCUACCCCUCCCAUAAACGUACUCUGAACCGGUCAGUCAGGAACUUUCUGGUCCGCACCAAUGAGGUAAUCUGUCGCAGGGGCCCUCUCUGUCUCCCCUCUCCCCCUGCCCCCUACCAAAGGAAGAUGAGAUGACCUUCCAAAUAAGACCCCUGCCCUCCCCACUUAGGGAUGGUGACCUGGCCUGAAACAAUCCUGACUUUUCUUUUACCAGUAACUUCCUUACCCUACCCUCCUUCCUAUGGAAGCCUUACAUUUUGUAUGGCUCCUGGGAGCAUCUCUCUGCUUGCUAGAUGGGAUACUGCCCCAUUCAUGAAUCGCUUAAUAAAACCAACUUGAUCUUUUAGAUUCCUUGGGUGAAUUUUUAACAGCCUAUAGAGAUGAAUAAAGUUUGGUCCUCACUCUUGAGAAGCAAUGUCCAUCCACUCUUUUCUAAGAUGAACUAAUUCUAUCCCAUUUCAACAUUUGUCACUAACCUCAUGACUGUCAAAUCUGCAUCUACAUCUGUGCUCUCAUGGGACUCUAGUCCCAGCUCCUCAACCAGACACCAGUUAAAUGGACAAAAUUGAACAUCCUUGGCCCAUAUUAUGUGACAUAAAGAUGGUUUUUCCUAAUGCUUUUAUUGCUUUGUUUGUUGUUAGAGGACAGGUUGGGACCUGUAUUAUUUAGGAAUUAGGCGUGGCCAUUUGACUACUUCUUAGUUACCCUGCAAUCUGGCGUUGGCCUCAGUCUCUCCAUUAGAACUCUUCUCACUGAGACCACCACCUCCUUGAUGCUAAAUCUAAUUGACCCUUCCAUGCCCUUCUCUUGGCCUCUCAACAGCACCGAAAAUAUUUCUCAUUCCUCUCUUACUAUGUCUUCAUUUUCCUCUCCAAGCUCUCUAAGCGCCUCUCUUUCGCGGAACUCAUUUGUGAGUUCCUUUUUUGUGUGUGCGUAAAUGUCGUAGCUUAGGGUUUUGAACUGGUCUCCACUUAGUGAGGACUCUCCUCAGGCACUCCCAACCACUCCUGCGGCUUCACACACCAAUCACAUUUGUUCUUCUGAGCUCCAGACAUUCUCUGCUUGGGUGCCCCACAGGCACCUCAUACCUAAGGCGCCCUAAUCUCUUACCCCGAACCUGCUCCCCUUCAGUGGAUGGGUGAUACACCAUCUACCCAGCCACCCAAGCCAGAGUCCCAGGUACCAUCUUGGACUUUUGCCUCUCCUUCUGUUCCAACAUCCACUCACCACAUCUUGACAGUUCUACCUACCAAAGAGCCUUCACACCUCUCAAACGCUGCUCUCUAUCCCCUUGGCUACUCCUAUCAUUUGUCUGGACGACUGCAACAGUACCCUAACAGGCUUUCCUGCUGCUGCCUUCCAAAUCUGCAGCGCGUUCACCUCUAAACCACAGAUCUAGUCAUGUCACUCCCCUGUGUAAUGCUCAUCACACUGCAGGAGCUCUCCAGGGCCAGACACUCUCACAGGGCCCUGAGGCUCUUCCUCUCCAAGCCCAUCCCUUAUCAUGACCCCCUGCACACACUCCCUCCGCUGACAAGCUCUCCUCCCUGCCUUAUUAUGCCUCCUUAUUCUCAGUUCUCAGCAGACCUUCUGCCAACGACUUGCCCCCGGAUGCUAGAUCCCUACUGUGUACCCCCAGUCCCCUCCACCCUGCCAGCAAGCUGUUGGUUUGCUCCAGAGCGCCCGUCCCGGUUUGCUCACUGUUCCUCUACUAGCUUAUCCCGACAGGCUCACUAGGUGGCACUGUUGCACCCUUAGUGCCGCGCCAUGGAGGCCCCCUGGUAACUGUCUGGGAGGAAUGGAUGAAUCCAUCCCAGUGGAGGACCCAGUUCCAUCAAGCCCCACCCCAGCUUUUCUUCAGGCCACUUUCUUUUUUCUCCCUCGCCUCUAUCUGUACUAAAGCUCUCUAGCUUGUUUGCUUUAAAAUAGAAAAUAGAAUAAAAACCGUCACCUCACACCAAACACGUUCUUCUCUCUCCCCUGCCUUCCUCUCCCCUCUCCCCCCCUCCCCUCCAACGGGCUCCCCAUAGGCAGUAAAAGAUUUGCAUUUUCCCCUAGAAUUAGAGAUCCAGACCAGGGGGAAGGGUAAGAGAUGGGGAGGGAGUAGAACCCGGAGGCUUCUACCAAAGUCAGGGUUAUGGAGGUACAUUCUAUAUCCAGCAAAAUCCACCCUUCUUGGUUGUACCGUGUGCAUGGAUUUAACAAACACACCAUCCUGUAACCACCGCCACCAUCACUGCAAAACUUUCUUUGUGCUGCAUUUUUGUAGUCUAUCACCUUCCUCUACCCCCAGCCCUCGGCAAGCGCUUUUCUCACUUCCUCCCUUAGAGUCUUAUCUGUUCCAGAAUGUCUCUUCUUUAGCUGGGCAAAAUGCUCUGGAGAUUCAACGGUUUUGAGUUGCACGUAUGGAUACCAUGUUUCCUUUUUACUGCUAAGUAGUAAAUCCCCUGUAGGAAUGCAUGACAGCUCAUCCAUCCGCUAGCCCCUUGGACGUUCAGGUCGUUUUCACCUUUAGACAAUUAUGAAUGAAACUGGUAUAAUUAUUUGCAUAAAGGUCUUUAUGCAGAUAGGGAUCUUCAUUUCCCUUGGGUGGGAUUGCUGGUCUGACGGUAAGUAUAACUUUCUAAGACACUGCCAAACUGGACUGGUGGGUCCUAUGCAAAUCACUGGAGAGAGGCUGACCCUACACGGAUGGAAACCAAUAUGAUUAACCCAAACACCCACACGAAGAGCUGUGGGAACCUUGUAACAGCCAGUGACUGGAAAGGGCUGAGGUCUAGCGUGUUUGAGGGAAGGUGGUAAAAAUGAGGACAGGAUGACUGUGAUACACCCAACACUCAAUGCGAGGAGCUGUCUCCCUGACCCUCCCUGCUGUUCACACUCAAGAGCUUAGGCUGCAUCAUCUCACAUCCACAGGCCAUGUGACUCUCCCCAGGCCAGUUGAGAAUGAAUGGAUGUUAAUGUUUUACAUACUCAAAAGACAAUAAAAUCAGCAAGCUGGGGGGGGGGGGGGUNNNNNNNNNNNNNNNNNNNNNNNNNNNNNNNNNNNNNNNNNNNNNNNNNNNNNNNNNNNNNNNNNNNNNNNNNNNNNNNNNNNNNNNNNNNNNNNNNNNNNNNNNNNNNNNNNNNNNNNNNNNNNNNNNNNNNNNNNNNNNNNNNNNNNNNNNNNNNNNNNNNNNNNNNNNNNNNNNNNNNNNNNNNNNNNNNNNNNNNNNNNNNNNNNNNNNNNNNNNNNNNNNNNNNNNNNNNNNNNNNNNNNNNNNNNNNNNNNNNNNNNNNNNNNNNNNNNNNNNNNNNNNNNNNNNNNNNNNNNNNNNNNNNNNNNNNNNNNNNNNNNNNNNNNNNNNNNNNNNNNNNNNNNNNNNNNNNNNNUUUUAAGUAAUAUGUACACCCAACAUGGGGCUUGAAACUGCCAUCCCGAGAUGGGUAGACACAUGCUCUACCAACUAAGCCAGCCAGAUACCCCAGUACCUGGGGAUUCUUCAUACUACUCAGUGUUUUUCCAAAUCUGAAAAAAAAAAAAAAGAAUGGUUGGACUAGUGUUUUCUUAAACUGCCUUAUAUUAAAAUUUUUUUUUCCACGUUUAUUUAUUUUUGGGACAGAGAGAGACAGAGCAUGAACGGGGGAGGGGCAGAGAGAGAGGGAGACACAGAAUCGGAAAUAGGCUCCAGGCUCUGAGCCAUCAGCCCAGAGCCUGACGCGGGGCUCGAACUCACGGACCGUGAGAUCGUGACCUGGCUGAAGUCAGACGCUCAACCGACUGCGCCACCCAGGCGCCCCUUAAACUGCCUUAUAUUAAAAAGCACUUGGGGGUCACCUGGGUGGUUCAGUUGGUUAGCUUCCAACUUCAGCUCAGGUUAUGAUCUCACAGUUCAUGAGUUUGAGCCCCGUGUCAGGCUCUGUGCUGACAGCUCAGAGCCUGGAACCUGCUUUGGAGUCUCUCUCUCUCUCUCUCUCUCUCUCUCUCUCUGCCCCUCCCCCACUCACACUGUCUCUUUCAAUAAAUAAACGUUAAAAAUUUUUUUUUAAUUACUUGGGGCUUUUGAUAAAAAUGUAAAACUCUAAGACUACUUUUCCCUCCCAAGGUAUGCUGCAUCUGUCCAUUUGGGCCUGACAAUGUGCAUUUUGCAUCAUCAAACACAUUUAAAAAUUUAUUUAUUUAUUUAUUCAUUUAUUUAUUUUGAGAGAGUGAGCGAGCAAGUGCAAAUGGGGAGGAGCAGAGAGAGAGAGAGAGAGAGAGAGAGAGAAUCCCAAGCAAGCUCCACCCUGUCAGGGUAGAGCCCAACUCAGGGCUGAAACUCAAGAACCAUGAGAUCAUGACAGGCAAAAUCAAGAGUCGGAGGCUUAGCCAACUGAUCCACCCAGGUGCCCCCAUCAUCAAACACAUUUUUGAAACGCUAGAUUAAAUUAUCUUUGAGGUCCGUUGUUCCAUGCUCUACAGGAGGCAUGAAUUAAGCCAAUUUUAGAAAUUUGUUGCCCAGAGUGAAGAGAAUGGGGGUAACGACUCUCUAUUUGCCUGAAAUAUAUUUAUUACAGAGUUGAAACAUUCAUACAAGUACCAAGAGCCCAUAGGAAAGCCCCUUGGACAAUCUCCUGGGAAGAACAUGCAGGAGAAAUCCCAGAAUUCUUUGAAAGCCAAGUGAUCCAUACAUUGUCUAGAGUUACACAUUUGAGGAAUAAGUGGCUUGAUUUCCAUCCUUCCGAUAGGACCAAGUGCCUACUGGUCUGGGGGCCUUUGCCCAUACACCAUCUGACCUGAAACACCUACCCCACCACACACUGGCAGGGCUGGCCCCUUCUGCCCACCAAGGCUCUCGUCAAACGCCAACUUCUCAGAAUGGCCAUCCAAUCUCACCUGCCCUAUCCCACCCAUCUCUAUAUCUUCACCAGGCUUCUCUUCUUUAUAGCACUUACCGUUAUCUGAAUUUAUCUAUCUUUCCCUACUGACAGUCACAAGAUUCACUCCAUGCAGGAGUGUUCAUUCCAUAUACACCAGGCACAAAAUAAACAUUCAUUGAAUGAUUUAGCAAUGUACACAUGUACAGGAAUCUCUUUCUUAAAUUUGUUAAGUUUGUUAAUUUAUUUUGAGAGAGAGAGAGACAGCGAGUGCACAAGCAGGGGAGGGGCAGAGAGAGAGAGAGAGAGAGAGAGAGAGAAUCCCAAGCAGGCUCCACACCAUAAGUGCAGAGCCCGAUGCAGGGCUUGAACUCACAAAUCAUGAAAUCAUGACCUGAGCCGAGAUCAAGAAUCAGACGCUCACCCAACUGCACUCCCCAGGCGCCCCAGGAAUCAAUUUCUUAUGAUGAACAAACAUGUUUACAGUGUGGUAGGUGAAACAUAACCAAAUCAAGUGGGAAACAGGCCUUUAUUAUAAUAAAGUUUAUUUUUUUUCCUCCCAUACAGUUUAAGAAAACCAGACAUCAGUGUAAGUUGGAGGAACAGCUGUGUUCAGAAAUGGGUCUUUGCCUUUUCAUCCACAAUGGAUUGUUGACCAGAAAAUCAGAGGCCGGCAUUCAACUAAUAUGUGAUAAAGAGUUGUUAUACAGUGUGAAUAGGUGUUUCAUAUAGUACCAUGGCCAAACAAAUUUGGGACACAGCAGAGCCAAAUGAAGGGUCUCUCCAACACAUCUGAUCACACUGAUCCACUGCCCCUUGCCUUCCUUAGAACUUCUCACGUGAGCUGAGUUCCACAACAAACACUUUAAGACGGCAGCAGGUCAAACAGGUCACUUUGUACUCAAAUGGUUUCCUAAAACCUCCCACUUCUCAUUCCAAUCGGUGACAGAUUCGUUGCUCUCUAGAAACCGAGCAAUGGAAAGCAAAGCUAUGAUGAGCGAAGGACAGUGCGGUUAGCUAAACGGCCUCAUUCGAGUACAUUCAAGUUUUAUCACCACCGUGGCAUCUGGGAAAUUUGGGGGGCAGUGUUUCUCAUGCAGGGGGAGGAAGAAGAGGGUCAUCCCAUUAGGAGUUUGUCACCCCCCACAAAAUCCUCUUUGAGAUCGUGUGGUGGCGAGCAUUGCUACCAAUGGGAGUAUGGCACAUUUCCAAGGUGUAUUGAGACAAUAAAAACCUGAGGGCCGCUACAUGAAAAGACACCUUCCCAGUGAGCUCUCCAGCUCACCCACUGCCAACCUUUUUGCCUUUCCUUUUUGACUUUGGCUUACGCAAACCCACAUUACACUUAAUAUCUAAUGGUAAUUAAUAUUUUUGAACCCACUGUCUGUAUCUAGAAGCUUCCAAAUCAGCCCAUUGCAAACCGUCAUCCAAUUUUAAUUUGUAACACUGUCCAAAUGUAUACAGUGGGACUGAGUUUGCCAAACGUAUAAAAACAUUAUGAAACACUGGUCUUCUUUUGUUGAUGUAACAUUUUCUUUCCCAUCAUUAAGGAUGGCGAAAAAGUCACAUCACCCAAAAUUAAAUAAUCUGAAGGUCCUUCAGAUUAAUCACCUAUAACUUUCAACUAUUUCUGAACUAAACAAACAUUUUCCUCUCCCUAAACAAAAGAGAUGUUAAAGAGCUUCAUGUCUUUGGCACUUGCUAGAAUAGGGUAUUUAAACUCUGUGCCUUUUUGCAGCAUAAAAUUGAAGUUAUAGCAAGGCAAAACGGGUGCCCACAGACCCUGCUGGAGUAAAAUUCCACUAGGAGUGUCAGAUUAUCGCCCCAAACCAAAUUUUGUCAUGCAGUGGGCAAUUAAUGUACCAAAAAUUUACCAGCCCAUAUAAUUUUAUCAGUCUACCUUUCCCCGGAGGAAGUAAAUAAACAGUAAAACUAAUGAAAUCAUAUUUCUUGACCACUCUCAGCCAAUAUAAAUUUUUACUUGUCCUCAGAGGGUUGGACGACGAGCUAUUCGUGAGGCCAUUCAAGUUUCUGGGCCAGUUACCACAGAGGCAGUAUUCUAAGUUUUGAGGGUGUUCCUGAGUCAGCAAAGAGGAUCCUGCUUUGUGAUGGACAGCCCCUCAAGUCAUUAGCAAGUGCAGAUCAGGGGUUGAUGGGCGUCUGCUACAGUUUUGCAUCAGCAUUUCUGAACUCUCUGAAAACAGCACGAAAUACUAAACUUUAACUCCUAAGGCAACAGAUGAGAAAAUGCUCAGUGUGCUACUCUUGUGCAGAGUAGACAGUAGGGGAUACAUCCUUAGGUGGUGGUUGCUGAAAAUUAGGUCAACUGCAACAAAGCUGAGAGGCCCAGUGCCUUCUGGAACUCAUGACGCCAGCAUUUUUCCCAUUUGGCCUGUGGCCCUUCUGCAUUAGGAUCACCUGGGGACUUCCUCAGAUUCAGGGCAAAUCUCCUCCAAAAGACCUACAUCUUAAACUACUAACACAGAAUCCCCUGAUUUGGCCUGGGAAUCCGCACUGGUCGCCAACUCACCAAAUGUGUCUGAUUCGCAGCAAAGCUUGAGGAUCACUGUAGUUGACCAACCCUUUACAAGGUCUUUGACAUCCUCUGCCCAGGAACACUAAACUUUGCAGCACCUUUGAAAUGCUGAAGCAAUAUUAAAUGGAUAGCAUCCCCAAAUAGAGCCAUGCCAUUGGUUUACACAGUGACAGGUGAGCACAGCCAACUGGAAUUAACUCAGCCGGCUCCCAUGCCUCACACAUUUGACCUGCACUGCAUAAUACUUUGCAGCAUCGAAUUGGCAACGAGAAAACAGAACAAAACAGAACACAGACACCCAGCCAUGUGGCCUUUAGAGAAAAUCCAAAUCCACGUGACAUGGGAAUUGGCACUUUAAGGCACAACAGACUUGUGGGAAAGAGGACUCUUCAUUCAUUCAUUCCCUUCACUAGGUGGGGAAAGGAAGAAGCCCCCUCCCCAAACCAGGUCUCUUCAUCCUGAAGUGUCUCCCCAGUCCCCAGGGUUCCCACAGACCCAGCUUCCUCUUACUCCACCCCCUCCACACCCCCCGCUGAUCUUUCUGGCUCAUUCUCCUCCCACCAUGGAGGUCUUGGCAGGAGCUGUGCCAUGUGGGACUCAACAAAUGAAGCAGGGCCCGUUUUCAAAGGGUAACACUACAAGAGUAGUAAAGCUUCAUCUGGCCACUUAAUAGGAAGGCUUCUAACUGCCUUAUUUUAAAUAAAUUUAAGACUUAGUGAACUAUUAAGGAUUCGCCUGAACAAGGACUUACUUGAACCCAUCUUCCCCUUUUAAAAUCACAAUUAUAGAAUAGGUGCACAUUGAGAGACAUUUCCCCAGUUAAAUACCUUAUUGACAUGAACGCACUCAAAAAUGCCAAGACAUCAACCACCGUGAAUAUUUUAGACCUUGGUAAACAGGUACCACUAGGCACUUAUGGUGCUUAGGAGGUUGUAGCUUAAUGUUGACAUCUGGCAUGAAAAGCUUAUGGUCUGAAUCAUGUUUCUUUUUUAUGUAAUUCUGGCUCAGGAAUCCGAUACAGAGCAGCUGAGAAAUAAAUUAUGUUGCUGAGGCUGAAGAUGAGGCACAGAAGUACAGCUCCAGCUAUCUGAGGGAAAGACAGGGGCCUGGAGUUGGCCAGGAGCCAUUCCCUCCUCAGAGUCUUGUCCAGAACAAUGGCUUCCAUCUGCAGGUGUGUGGCCAGGAUCACACACACGUGGAACAGCUGGUGACUGUGACCUACGGCAAACACAGAAAAGGCUGCCAGGAUCAGCAACAAAAAACGAACAGGGGCCCCUGGGUGGUGCAGUUGGUUAAGCUUCCAACUCUUGAUUUCGGCUCAGGUCAUGAUCUCACAGUUUGUGAGUUCGAGCUCCGCAUUGGGUUCUGCGCUGACCGGGCAGAGCCUGCUGGGGAUUCUCUCUCUCUCCCUCUCUCUCUGCCCCUCCUGUAUCUCUCUCUCUCUCUCUCUCUCUCAAAAAAACUUUUUUUUUUUUUAAAGGAAUAGACUGCUGAUACUGUUCCAUGGUGUAUAGGCUAAAAACAUUAUGCUGGGUAAAGAAGCUAGACACAAGAGACCACAUAUUGUCAGAAUCCAUUUAUAGCAAAUGUCCAGGAAAGGCAAAUCCACAGAUGCAAAGUAGGUUAGUGGUUUCUUCAGGCAGGGGGUAGGAAUCAGGAUUAAUAAGACAUGGGCAGGAGGGAUCUUACCGGGGUGAUGAUCAUGUUCUAAAACUCAUUUGCGAUGAUGGGGAUUCAAUUUGGGGGGUUAACUAAAAAUAUCACUGAAUUGUAUCCUUGAAAUCAGGGAACCAUGUGAUACGUAAAAUAUGCCUCAAUGCAUUUAUUUGUUUUUUAAAUGUUUGUUCAUUUAUUUUUGAGACAGCAUAAGCAGGGGAAGGGCAGAGAGAGAGGAAGACAGAGAAUCCCAAGCAGGUUCCGCACUGACAGUACUGAGCCCUACAAGGGGCCUGAAAUCGCGAACCAUGAAAUCGUGACCUGAGCCGAAACCAAGAUUCUGAUGCUCAACCAACUGAGCCACCCAGGCGCCCCAGCAUUUUUUUUUAAUGCAGUGUGAGAAAAAUUAAAAGGCCCAAGUACAUUUUUUCAACUUGUCCACCAGUCCUGUUUUUCACAUGAAGUCUGGCAUCAUGUUCUCCCAAAGUUCACCUCUUCAGAACCAGCACUCAUCAGCUCCAAUUCUGAGGCCAACGGAGAAGCCAACCAGACUUUCUAUUGGCCAGUUACAAGGUAGCCCUCUCCUUACUGCUGGUUAAUCCCAGACAUGACCAGGGGCUCUUCCUCCCUGAUGACCUUCAGGACCUUGGCUCACCAGCUAUGUGUCCACAGAGGGGAGGACCCAGCAGAGGGGGGUGGUAGUGGGCGGGAACAUGCUUAGUUGGUAGUGAUGAGAAAAAGAGUCCAUUGCCCAGGGCCAAGGACUGUUUGCAGGACAACGCUCAGAAAUCAGAAGAUGAGAAGAGAACAAAGACAGCAUGUGUCAUGGGCUGAGCUGUGUCUCCCUUCCCCCAAUUCCAAAUGUUGAAGUCCCAAUGCCCAGUACCUCAGAAUGUGACCGUAUCUGGAGACAGGAUCUUGUAUUAAGUUUAUAUAUUUAUUUUGAGAGAGAGAGAGGGAGAGAGGCAGAGGGAGGGGCAGAGAGAGAGAGAGAGAGAGAGAGGGAGAGAGAGAAAAUCCCAAGCAGGCUCCGUGCCGUUGACAGCAGUGAGCCUGAUGUGGGGCUUGAACUCACGAACCACAAGAUCAUGACCUGACACUCAACUGACCGAGCCACCCAGGUGCCCUCUGACUGGUACCCUUCUAAGAGGAGGAAGUUAGGACCUGGGCAUGGGAAAGACCACGUGAGGAGAGACAGAGAAGAUGGCCAUCUGCAAGCCAGGGAGAGAGCCAGGAGAGAGACGGACCCAGCCCACACCUUGGUCUCAGCCUCCAAAAUUAUGAGAAAAUGCAUUUCUGUUGUUUAAGCCACUCAGUCUGUGAUUCUUUGUUAUGGCAGUCCUAGCAAACAGAUACAACACAAGAGUUAAGGAUUCUCUUUCAUUAAAAGAGAGAGAGAGAGAGAGAGAGAGAGAGAGAUUCCCGCAAUCUGGCUGGACAGGAAUAUGGAGGAACUUCCUACAGGCAGGGCCAGCACUAACCAGUUAGCACUCUGCCCCACAUCGGAGAGGGAAUCCCACAUCUGGCAGACCCCAUUAUUGUGGGACGGAUCAUUUUCCAAACCCGUUGUUAAUGACCUGUCAUUAACAGUUGUCUGGCAAAUGUCUGGCCAAUGGAGGGGUGUCUCUGGGUUCUGUUCCCCUAGGCCCAAGAGAGUGGGAUUAAAAGUGAAUAAAUGAAAUGUUAUUAAGACACCAGGGAGUUGGUAAAACAAGGCCAGGGCUAUUUUUUCCUGCAGUCCCCGGACUUCAUUUACAACCACCGAUACUUUGUCUAGGUGGGGCUCGGGAGGUGGACAGGGCUCCUGUAGACAAGUUCCAACUCCGUGGCCCUCUCGUCUCCCCCGCCCCCUCACCUUUUUGUUUGAAAUUUACCCUCCAAGCAUUUUGGUCCUUGGCAUCCCUUCUGGUAGGACAGAAUUGAAGUAAAGGAGAUGAAGCUCUUUUCAGAGCCAAUAAAGCAAAUCUGGCCACAUGUCUUAGGUGGGAGGAGAUGAAAAAAAUCACUGGAGAAAUGGGCUUGGGGAGAACCAGGGUCCCUGCCCACCAUUUAAGGAUAAGGGCUGACGCUUGAACCCCCAUGACAGCGUAUCUAGGGAGCUCUCAUCUCAAGGAGUCCUCAGCGUCACCAGAAGUGGCCCAAGGUUCCCUCCUCCGGCCAGUGCCCGACCCACUUCCCUAGACAAAGAGGGAAGGCGCUCUCCCAGCAGGUAGAAGUCCUCUGGCUCUGACAGCUCCUCUCCAGCACACCACUUCUCUAACGGCGGUGAGCUCAGGUUCCCCUGGAGAGUCACCCAGCCUCUGAGUGAGACGCCCCGAGCUUCUGGUUCGGGAUGUCCGGGGGCCCGAGAAUCUGAGAAUUCCCAGAUAAUGCUAAAUGCUGAUGCUCCAGGGGCCACACCUGAGAACCAAGACUCCUGGCCCCACUGCAGCCGCCUGAACGAGACGAAGACACGCUCCCCUCCUUGGCACAGCCCCUGCCAUCUGUCAGCCUCGGGGCCAUCUGCACUCGGUCUGUCUUGUUCCUCUCCAGGGCUGCCCUCGAUGUCCAUUUAAUCCUGGGAUUUCAUCUUCGGGGUAAUAACGGGACUCCCUAGGCCCCGUAGCCCAUAGGAAUGCCUUAGAAUCCUAGAUGCACCUGUUCUCCAUCCUCCCAUCCUACCUGGCCAUUUGCUGGCUACGUACAUCCUGGCCUCCAUUGCCUUACAGUUUCACUUCCCUUGGCCUGCUCCUAGAGAAGCCCCUGGGGAAUUGCGUCUCUCCAUGCCCCUGCUUCCCCUUCGAGACCGCAUGCACUGGCGUCCUGGUGGCAGGGAGACAACGGGGCCGCCGCGCACUCACCGAUGUAGUCGAAGCGUCCAGGCGCCAGGCGCUCUGGCAGGUGUGCGGAGUAGAAGAAAGAGGCCAGGAGGGUCAUGGCCGUGUGCUUCUGGUGGUACAAGGCGGCUUCGUUCUGCGCACCAUCCCCCGAAAGCAGGAACAGCUGCAGGGAUUCAGAGGAACAUCAGAUCUCGAGAGGAGGCCCCCUUCCUUCUCAUCACCCGAAGCCAUCUCUGCACACGCGUGCGGGCACCACGGGCCAAGGCCCUCACCUCCUUGGUCUGUGGUUUGGAAGGGGAACUCUCAGGGACCGUGGGAGCAGAAUUCCUAUUCCUUUUUUUUUUUUUAUAUUAAAAAAAUUUUUUUUAGGUUUAUUUAGAGAGAGAGAGAGAGAGAGAGAGAGAGUGGAGGGGAGGGGAGGGGCAGAGAGAAAGGGAGAAAGAGAAUCCCAAGCAGGCUCCGCACUGUUAGCACAGAGCCCAGUGUGGGGCUCAAAGUCACAAACUGCGAGAUUAUGACCUGGGCCGAAAUCAAGAGUCGGACACUUAACCGACUGUGGCACCUAGGUGCCCCUUAAUAAUUUUUUUAAUGUUUAUUCAUUUUUGUGUGAGAGAGAGACAGAGCGCAAAUAGGGGAGGGGCAGAGAGAGAAAGAAACCCAGAAUCCGAAGCAGGCUCCCAGGCUCUGAGCUGUCAGCACAGAGCCCGAACCGGGGCUCGAACUCACAAACCAUGAGAUUAUGACCUGAGCCGAAGUCAGACGCUUAACCAACUGAGCCACCCAGGCUCCCGCAUAAUUCUGACUGUGAUCUUUUGAGAGACCCAAGGCAACUGUAUUUUAUUUUAUUUUUUCUCCCCUCAGGGCACCUGUAUUUUAAUCCUCCAAAUGUCCAUAAAGCCUUUUGGGUUGUUUAAUUACGAAAGAAAAGGAAAGAAAUCAAGGAAGGAAAAGAAAGGAAAAGAAAAAUCCUACUAGAUCUAUUUGCUACUCUUUUGUCUGGGGGUAAAAUGUAAGUAUAGUAAAAAGUGGUCUAGUCACCCUUGAACUCACUUCUCACCAGCGCAUCCCCUGAUUUCAAGCUCCUAAUUAAGGCUUUAAAGCCUAGAAAUCCCUGGAAGGCCUUUCUGAGUCAUCAAAACGUGUUAAUUACAGCCAUUAUCCUGUUUGAGAGCUAAGUAUAGUUUUUGUAUUACCGUUAUAAUGACAGCAGCCAUCACUUACCUAGGGCACUAAGCCAGCCUUUUAUUUGCACAAUUUCAUCACAGCCUCAACAACUACCAAAACAUCCCACUUUGCCGAUGAGGAAGCUGGGCCAGAGGGUGACUUGCAAACCACUAAUCAGCAGUGAAGUCAGGCUGUGGAUCCAGGCAGGCUGAUUCCAGAACCGAUGCUCUGCUCCUCAACCUCCCCGCUCGCGAUCAGACCUUCCGGCCCCUCCUCCGCCCCCUGUCUGACUCAGCUGGUGCUCCUAAUAAUGCAGACCUGUGCUAUGCGAUUUGAUGGCAUGUGGGAACGGCUUGCUCUCUGCUCUGGUUUCCUAUGGGUGUUCUGUGUCGUCGAGGAAGGAGUCAGGGGCAUGGGCCGCACCCACGCCUCUGGGUCUCCCCCCCAUCCCAGGCUCACCCAGGUGGUGCCGGCUCUGGCCCUCCCCUUCGGUCCCUGACUUGCGCAUCAAACUUCAAGCUGCCCCUGGGAGGGAAACGCCACUCACUAGGUGCAGGCCCUCUGCCGGGCAUUGCUGAGCCCUCUGAUCUGCUGAUUUGAUUAAGCCCCUCUACCCCUCUGUGCGGGAGAGGAUGUCAGCCUCAUUAACAGAUGAAGAAACUGAGGCUCAGAGACUGAGAUCAGGUGCAUUCCCUAAGGUCACAGAGCCAGUGCGCGCUGGGAUUUGAACUCAGGUCCAUCCGAUUUGUGAGUGCCUCUCCCCUUUCUUGUGUCCCUCUUACACCCCCUUCCUUCAUGUUCUCCAAUUCCCAUCUAUCUUACGACCUUCAUUUAUCCUUUUUCCUUCGCUGCUAGUAUGUUAGUUGAUGACAAUACAGAAUAAAUGCAUUUAGUGGCCACUUGCCACGAGCCAGCGAUCUCAUGUAAUCUUCCCCCCAGUCUGACGAAAGCAGGUGUUAUUACCAUGCCCAUUUUACAGAGGGGGACAUCAAGGCACAGAGAUGGUACCUAACUGGCCCAAAGUCUUACAGCGAGUACGUAUUAGAGAUUUGCCUCCAGAGCCUGCUUUCCUGGUCACCGCACUAAACCCCAGGCUGCCUCCCCUUCCCAGCCCUCCACGACUGCGUCUGAGCCCCCAGUCAGUGCUGGCCAUUGAUGCAUCCCCUGUGGUUUGCCAGGGCCUUCAUUCUCCUGCUGUGUCCUAACUACUAAGGGAGCCCCUGGGUCGUGCCUCCCACGUCCGUCCCUCGCAGUGACCACCAUGGCGCUCCGAGCCCCAGGAGCUCAGGAAGCAGUAGAUUCCCUGGUGUUGCCAACAGGCAGAGAAAAGAUGGAGCCGGGCCCUUACCCUGUAGAAGAUGGGAAGGGAGUCCCAGGUGUAGGGAUAAGCAAAGGCAAGGACGCGAAGCAUCUUGCAGAGCCCGGGCUUCUGGAUUUCAAGAAACCUAAAGCGGGGAAGGAAAGGGGGAAGACGUUGGACCGAAAACGGUUUCCGUGAAUGACACACGUGCACGCACAUGACAAAUUACAAAUUACUGAGGGCAGGUCGUCCGCAGAAGUCUUUUUGUACAACCUCCUCCGGAGGCCAGUGGCUCCCCCCCGACGGGCCUCUUCCGCUUCUUCCAGCCCGACGGGAGUGACUCUGCCUUCGAGGAGAAAGGGUCUCAGGGGAAACCAUCUCCUGGGGCCGCAUCGUGAGGGGCAACGGUGUCCAAAGAAGCCAGGGAGGAGGUAUUGGGCUGGGAAGGCCCUCUGGGAGGCAAGUUGUCGAACUGCCAAAGGGCCUUUUAGAAGUCCAGCAGCAACCGGGUGGGCAGACGUGGGGGGUGUGGGGGGCCCCCAGCCCGGGCUCCGGGGGCGAGCACGGCUGUGAAGGAGCCGAUGUCGGCUGCCCCGGGUGCGUGCUGUGCCAAAGCCCUUGGUUCGGUGAAGUCUUUAAUGACUUUGAGAGACUUCCGGAAUACUUGGUACCACACGCAGGGACGCUGGCCUGGGGAAAACGAGUAAACGUGGCCUUUC
rnacentral:lncRNA from 1 species